AUUGAACGCUGGCGGCAGGCUUAACACAUGCAAGUCGAGCGGGGUGAUGGUGCUUGCACUAUCACUUAGCGGCGGACGGGUGAGUAAUGCUUAGGAAUCUGCCUAUUAGUGGGGGACAACAUCUCGAAAGGGAUGCUAAUACCGCAUACGUCCUACGGGAGAAGGCAGGGGAUCACUUGUGACCUUGCGCUAAUAGAUGAGCCUAAGUCGGAUUAGCUAGUUGGUGGGGUAAAGGCCUACCAAGGCGACGAUCUGUAGCGGGUCUGAGAGGAUGAUCCGCCACACUGGGACUGAGACACGGCCCAGACUCCUACGGGAGGCAGCAGUGGGGAAUAUUGGACAAUGGGGGAACCCUGAUCCAGCCAUGCCGCGUGUGUGAAGAAGGCCUUAUGGUUGUAAAGCACUUUAAGCGAGGAGGAGGCUCUUUUGGUUAAUACCCAAGAUGAGUGGACGUUACUCGCAGAAUAAGCACCGGCUAACUCUGUGCCAGCAGCCGCAGUAA
rnacentral:rRNA from 1 species